ACUCCGGUGGCCUAGUGGCUAGGGCGUCCGCUUCGGAUGCAGAAGGUCGUGGGUUCGAUCUAACAGCUGCCUUUAGUG